AAAAAGAAGAAGAAGAAGAUAACAGUCAAACCAACCUAAUUGGUGGGGGGCCACAGCCAACUUUAAAAUUCAUAAUAUAGUUCAAAUAUCCAUGGAUAAAAAAUAAACAAAAGAAUAAAAAAUUAGUUAUUUCCUCUAUGGGCCCUCCUCUUCUCAUUUUAUUUUCAUUCCCAAUAUAAAUCUUGCUGGCUGCUUAUUGAAUUCUACUUCUAAACCUCGACUCGAUGUAAUUGUUCCAAGAAUGGGGGAAAAAAUUAAGGACACGGAAAAAGGGGAGGGGAACUCAAAUAGAUCACCAAGAAAACUCCUUGUAACAACGAUUAACAAUAGGAAGAGGGAGCACGAAUGACUG
rnacentral:misc_RNA from 1 species